AAAAUAAAUUCAAACUCAACUGAAUUGAUAUGAUUCAAUUACAUUAUUUAAACUAAACCGAACUGAAUUAGAAAAAUCUUAACUGAAUCGAAUCGUGGGUUUGAUUCAAUUUCACAGUUUGGUCGUUUUUUUGGUCAGCCCUAGUUUCUGCAUACUAAAAAUCACUGAUUUGACUCGGUUGGUUGUUUACAUAGUGCUUUUGAGUCCUAAUUUCCUGGUCUUUUGCUGAUUCUGUCGAGCCCUUGUUUAGAACUGUCUGCUGAUAUCAGUACUUCAAACUGUUGGACAAACGGACAUCUCCCUUCACUUCCCCUGCUUUCAAACAGCAUGUGAAAACAUGAUAUACACUCACUGUUACGUUGUUUUUUCAAGUGUCAAAUAAUGAAAUAGUUUAAAACUAUGUAUAUUAGGUCUGUUUACUAUAAAAUCAUUGUCUAAAGAGAAUAUUCCUCCAACAUAAAUCAAAUAGAGACAAAAAUUAGACCUUAAACCCAGUUUUCUGCAGUAGCUUAUCACUGAUAAUUUGCAUGGUAUUUAUUGCUCUACAUGAUGUUGCUGUCAAUCUCUACAUAGAUAUGGGCACCAAUUCGAGCAGUAAUACCCAUCUCUAAUUCGUUAUUUCCUCCAUCUUCAUUUGCCGACAAAUUACUCAGGCUGAGGAAAGGCUCUUCUUCAAAUCCGUGAGGUUCUUUCCCACUACACCCCUAAACAGUAUUCCACAAGAUGUUCCAAGUAUUUCUUCACUUCUUUUGCCUAAAACGACCUCUUUUCUUUUCUGGGUUUAGCCUUUAAAGAUAAUCAAGUAAUGAAUCUUGCAAAUGGAAGGGGGAGC
rnacentral:lncRNA from 1 species